rnacentral:lncRNA from 1 species
CGAGUGGAUUGGCUGCUCCGGCUUACCGGAAGUGCCGCUCAAGCCCGUGCUCUACUGCGCUUGCGCAGUCGUCCCCUGUAAUAUGCGCGUCUCCGGUUACUUCUUUGCUGGCGUCUUAGUCCAUUUGUUUGGCUCUUUGUGCUGCGCAAUGUCGUCGUGUUGGUGGCGGUCUUCAGUAACCGGGACCUUGGAGGCUGGGAGGGAUAGCUGAUGUGCAGGGCCAGCACUGGGGGCGAGCUCAGGGCGGGCAGGGAUGUGCUCGAGGAGUGAGGCCCGCAACCCUGCAGAGGGCGCCCGGUCCUGUUGACUCACUCCUUGCUGGGGUGAGACAGUUGUUAGGGUUAAGUUUGCAUUUCAGAACGUUCUGGUAAGGGCUUUGUAGCAGGGUGAGAGUGAAGACCUGUGCAAGAGAAGAAGCCAUAAGGGUUCAAGAUGCCAGGCGAAGCCACUUACCAACCUUUGCUCGUCCCACGCCUGGGAGAACUCGAGUGGUUUCCUCUAACUGCACAGGACCACUGUGAGCCAUUUCUACUCUGUCCAGUUCAACAGCUGUCUCACCUGGAAAGCCACUUUUCCUGUUCACCUGCCUCUGGAGGCCCACCUUUCCCAAGCCCUACAUCACAGCCUCUGAGAUUUGGUUAUUCCUUCCGGGAAACUCGCCUCUCUGACCUCUCUCCUCAGCUAGAGACCACCUGCCUCCUUUCUCCACAAGGAUGUUUCAAAGGCUGCUAAAACUUGACAUUUCCUAAAAUAAAUACUUGGUUUCUGCUUUAAACCAGUCCACUUACUCUCUGUGCUUCAUCCAAAUGGUAAAGCUGAAGGCCUGAGCAUCAUUCUAGACUUCACUGGUCUCCAAAUCCCCAUAUCCAAUCAUUAAACUAUUCUUAUCCAUUCAGCCUCCUAAACAGCUCUGUGACUCACCCUUUGCUAUCCUCUCACACACAUGAAGGGGGUCCUAGCUAGUCAAAAGGCUGAGAUGAGAGGAUCCCUUGAGCCCAUCAGAUUGGGCUUCAGUGAGCUCUAAUUGUGCUACUGUACUCCAGCUUGGGUAACAGAGUGAGACACUGUCUCAAAAAAAAAAAAAAAAAAAAAAAAUCUGAAAUCCAAAA